CAGCUCCUCACGGGAGGCAGCAGUGGGGAAUCUUGGACAAUGGGGGCAACCCUGAUCCAGCCAUGCCGCGUGAGUGAUGAAGGCCCUAGGGUCGUAAAGCUCUUUCGCCUGUGAAGAUAAAUGACUGUAGCAGGUAAAGAAACCCCGGCUAACUCCGUGCCAGCAGCCGCGGUGAAUACGGAGGGGUUAGCGUUGUUCGGAAUUACUGGGCGUAAAGCGCGCGUAGGCGGACUGGAAAGUUGGGGGUGAAAUCCCAGGGCUCAACCCUGGAACUGCCUCCAAAACUAUCAGUCUAGAGUUCGAGAGAGGUGAGUGGAAUUCCGAGUGUAGAGGUGAAAUUCGUAGAUAUUCGGAGGAACACCAGUGGCGAAGGCGGCUCACUGGCUCGAUACUGACGCUGAGGUGCGAAAGUGUGGGGAGCAAACAGGAUUAGAUACCCUGGUAG
rnacentral:rRNA from 1 species